UACGGGGGGGGCAAGCGUUGUUCGGAAUUACUGGGCGUAAAGGGCUCGUAGGUGGCCAACUAAGUCGGACGUGAAAUCCCUCGGCUUAACCGGGGAACUGCGUCCGAUACUGGUUGGCUUGAGUUUGGGAGAGGGAUGCGGAAUUCCAGGUGUAGCGGUGAAAUGCGUAGAUAUCUGGAGGAGCACCGGUGGCGAAGGCGGGUCUCUGGGCAGUAACUGACGCUGAGGAGCGAAAGCGUGGGGAGCGAACAGG
rnacentral:rRNA from 1 species